rnacentral:rRNA from 1 species
UGGGGAAUAUUGCACAAUGGGCGAAAGCCUGAUGCAGCAACGCCGCGUGAGGGACGACGGCCUUCGGGUUGUAAACCUCUUUUAGCAAGGAAGAAGCGAAAGUGACGGUACUUGCAGAAAAAGCGCCGGCUAACUACGUGCCAGCAGCCGCGGUAAUACGUAGGGCGCAAGCGUUAUCCGGAAUUAUUGGGCGUAAAGAGCUCGUAGGCGGUUUGUCGCGUCUGCUGUGAAAACCCGAGGCUCAACCUCGGGCCUGCAGUGGGUACGGGCAGACUAGAGUGCGGUAGGGGAGAUUGGAACUCCUGGUGUAGCGGUGGAAUGCGCAGAUAUCAGGAAGAACACCGAUGGCGAAGGCAGAUCUCUGGGCCGUAACUGACGCUGAGGAGCGAAAGGGUGGGGAGCAAACAGGCUUAGAUGACCCUGGUAGUCCACCCGUAAACGUUGGGAACUAG